rnacentral:rRNA from 1 species
GCGAGUGAAGCGGCAAAAGCUCAAAUUUGAAAUCUAACACUUUCAGUGUUCGAGUUGUAAUUUGAAGAAAGUUUCUCUGAGUAGUCCUUUAUCUAUGUUCCUUGGAACAGGACGUCAUAGAGGGUGAGAAUCCCGUAUGAUUUUGGAUACUAUUCUUUGUGAGAUUCUUUCGAAGAGUCGAGUUGUUUGGGAAUGCAGCUCUAAGUGGGUGGUAAAUUCCAUCUAAAGCUAAAUAUUGGCGAGAGACCGAUAGCGAACAAGUACAGUGAUGGAAAGAUGAAAAGAACUCUGAAGAGAGAGUGAAAAAGUACGUGAAAUUGCUGAAAGGGAAGGGCUUUAGGUCAGACUUGGUGUUUAAUGAUUAUCUUCUCUUUUUGAGUUGUGCACUCGUUUUUCACUGGGCCAAUAUCAGUUUUUGUGGUAGAGCACCUAUUGGAAUGUAGCUUUUCUUCGGAUGAGUGUUAUAGCCUUUAGACGAUCUAUUUACGGAGACUGAGGACUGCGCGUUAUGCUAGGAUAUUGGCGUAAUGACCUUAAGCCGCCC